rnacentral:snRNA from 1 species
AUCGCUUCUCUGCUUUUUGGCUAAGAUCAAGUGUAGUAUCUGUUCUUAUCAGUUUAAUAAUUAGAUUUAAGUCAUGUCUUUUCUCCAGGCAUUUACUUGGCAACCCAUUACUCCUAAUUUCAACUACCAAAUUUACUUAACAUUUUAAUUUACUGAUCAAGUGAUCUCUUGAUCAGCAGUCUCUUUGAUCAGUGGUCU